UAAAAAAACAGUCGAGAUUAAAAACCCUAUCGUUCUCUUUCUCCUCCCGACGAUUCUCUUUCUGUUUCUCUCCAAAACAGUUCUUUUUCCGCUGCGAAUUAGGGUUCAUAAAAAUUGUUUCAUCUUCUUCUUCAAUAUCUCUGACAAUAGCACUACUAAAAACUCAAUUUCUCAAUUACUCAAAUUCAAAAAGGAAAAAAAGAAAAAAAAUCCUCUUUGUUGGGUUAGGAUUUGAUUUUGGUCUGAUUCUGCUAUUGAUGGAUCUUCAUCUGUUAAUAAGGUUUAUAAUGAAACAUGAGUCACGGUUUGUAGAUUAUGCUAAGAGGGAAGUUGGAUUUGAAUGAAAUCAUGAAAUUUUUUAAUUUGAUUAUGAUGGUGAACUGAAUCUUUUUGGUAUCAAGUUGAGAAUAGUUUUAGGGGUAAAAUUGAAUCUGAUGGUAGUAAAGGAAAAAGAGGAGGAGGAGAAAUUGAUAGGAUGAAACGAUUUGGAUUAGAAGAAGAAAUUGAUAGGAUGAAACGAGAUCGCAGUGUGUUAAUGUCCGAAGUUGUGAGAUUGCAAGUAAUUGAAAACAAGUAAAGAAACUCGGGUUUCCUUGUGAAAGCGCUAAAGAACUCUGAUUUUGUACAUGAACUGCUUAGCCAGUAUGAUGAGAAGAACAAAGAAUUGGGUCACGGGAUUGGAACUGGAAAUAGAAGAAGAUCAGAUUCAGGGUUCAUAAGAAAUUGGGUCCUUUUAAUCUAUUUCAUCUUCAGUUGGUGGAGAAGUGGUGGCGCUGGAGCAGGUGUAAAUUAACUUAGUUUUUUUUGCACGUGAAGUUCACAUGAUAACGUUUAUUUAACACCGUUAGCAAAAUGUAAAUUAAUGUAAAUAAAAUUAUUUAUGUAACGGUCAAGACGGUCAACAACAGUCCUGUGACCCAAACUCUAAUUAAAAAUUCUUGCGUGAUCCAA